rnacentral:rRNA from 1 species
AAGCGAGCCUGCGAAGGCAAGCGGAUCUCUUAAAGCUGUUCUCAGUUCGGACUGCAGUCUGCAACUCGACUGCACGAAGCUGGAAUCGCUAGUAAUCGCGCAUCAGCCACGGCGCGGUGAAUACGUUCCCGGGCCUUGUACACACCGCCCGUCAAGCCAUGGAAGCCGGGGGUGCCUGAAGUGCGCUGCCGCAAGGAGCGCCCUAGGGUAAAACCGGUGACUGGGGCUAAGUCGUAACAAGGUACC